GACCACUUAACCUCUCAAGAAACUCAAUACUGAAAUUGGAAAAGGAAAAGAUAAAUGACAUUUAUAUGUGAUGUAAUUUAUAUACCUUUCUCAGAAUGUUGUUAGCUAGAUGGAAACUUGAAACUGAGUCAUGAACCAAUAUUUCCAGCUAUGCCUAUAGGUACCUAUAGGUGCUCCUUACAUGGCUAAAAUCUCCCUCAUGAUAGCACAAAUUGUCCAAAAGAAAUGGGAGUUCCUUGCAGUCCAAAGCGCCGAGCGAGAAGUAUAAAGGCAAAUUCUGUUUUGGACUGAAGGGAGCUCCUAGUUCUUCGCUUUCAUCAUUUUUAUACUUCAUCUCUUUCAAUUCAAAGGUUUAAAUUUUCUUCCUCUUGUUAUUUGUUUUUUAUGCCUUUAUGUUUGAAGUACAUGUUUUGUUAUGUUACAUAAUAGUAUGGAUUUUAAUUUC